GCCUGGGUGACUCAGUCGGUUGAGCAGCUGACUUCGGCUCAGGUCAUGAUGGCAUGGUUUGUGAGUUUGAGUCCCACUUCAGGCU
rnacentral:tRNA from 1 species